CACGCGCGAGAGGUUUCCCUCUGCUUCCUUCCCUGCCACGCUAGAACUCAACUCCCCCUCCCUGCUUCUCCAUCCUUCCUGCCUCUGGCAGCGGAAGACUGGGUCCCCUCGCCGCACGUCAUCUCUGCCCACCAUUGAACCAUAUCUGCCCUCGCGUUGCUGCGCGCCAUCGCUGUCCAGCAUCAUCGAUCCCAUUGAACCAGAGCUGCCUUCCACCAUUGCCCACCAAUAUCAUCGGCACUGAAUCUUAUGAGCGUAUGGAGCACCCCUUCUGUGCAUUAGGACAGCGUAUGGAGGCAGUCACUACAAGAUUUAUGAUAUUCAAUGGCUGAGGCUGAGUCAGGCGCCAUUGAAGAGCAUCCUUUGCUGGUGUUGGAUUUAGAGUGCUACGAGGGGAUCCUUUGUGGCAUUCGAACAGGGGACGCCACUGCGUUUAAAUGUAAUGGGAUUGGAUCAACAUUCACUUAUGUUGUGGUUUCUCUUCCUUGCCUGCUACAAGACGGAAAUUGGACAACCGUGAGGACGAGAGGUCGAUGGUGCGUGCGCUAACGGGCAAAAAAAUAAAUCCGGAAGCAUUUCUCCACGAAACAUUUCUCUACCUCUUGCCGUGGAAAUAUUGCCGUGGAAAGAUGAUUCCGAAAAUAUUGUUUUUGCCCGUUAGGGCACGCACCAUCGACCUCUCGUCCUCAGCUGCUUAACCCCACCCGCUAGAGAGAGGAACGCUGCUCCUGCUACUGUUGCCUCAAACGCAUCCGUCGUCCCUCUCGCGCUCUCACUCUCCUGCUGUACUUGUUGUUCGAUUUUCAGUGGAUCUGAAAAAGUUGCCUCAGAAAACAUCAUCAACUCCUUGCAAGAGCUGCAAAUCAAACGGGUAGGGUUUUCACGUUCUCCUCCUCCUCUUAUGUCUUCUUGUCUAUUUUUUUUUUCCCUUCCUCAUGAAUCUUCUUCGAGAGCCAUUUUGCCUAAUUUUGUGAUUGGAUUGGCACUUUGAUUUAUGAUUUCUGUUUUUCACUGCACAUUCACUGCUUUAGUCUGUUCCCUGCCUUUGGUAGCAGCUAUUUCAAGCAUUGAGUCUACAACUCAGCGCGAUCCCUUCCUUCUCUCUCGCUCCAUUGCCUCCCUAUUAUAGUUGUAGUUGUGCCCAGCCGUAGCCAUGUUCUUGAUUUUCUGUUACCAGGCUUAACUCUUCAUUUCUUCAGGGUUGAAAACCAAAGAACAGGCUAUGAACUAUUGGACCUUCACUCUGGCGUGUGCUGCAUACAGGUUGGUAAGGAGAUUCAGAAAUGCUAUGAACUCAUAAACAGGCUCGGAAGAGGGGUUGUUUAUCUUGGUUCUUCAAGGAUAGAUCCAUGCCAUCCACAUUACAUCCAGGCGUUUGAGUUAGGAAAAGAGGUAAGUUAAGCAUAUCCGAGGUUCAUACAAUAUUUUUCUCAUUCUCAGGUUUUGAAAAUUUCAGUAAUUGAAAAUUUCAAAACCUGAAAUUUGAAGCUAAUUUCUACUCGAAAGAGACAUAAGAAAAAUGGACAAUAAAGCAUCAUCUUUCAUUCCGUUACUUUUUUUAUAUUCUACCUGUAGAAAUUUCAUUUGCCACAUCAUCAUGAAUAAACCUCUACAUGAUAUGGGUCAUUCUGAUGACCACAUGUGCUUUGUGCACUUCGAAAGAUGAAUAAACUAAAGGCCUUCAAGUUAAAGGAAAUCAAGAGUCAACGCCCAGCUCACGUCUUCUUUGUUGCAAGGCUAACACAUUUGUGAAGCUUUCCUGAAUCAAGAGUCAACGCCCGGCUCACGUCUUCUUUGUUGCAAGGCUAACACAUUGGUGAGGCUUUCCUGACGAGCAAGGACAAUGGGGAUUUACAUUGGUGAAAUCUGUGUUUAUUCUCUCAAGUGUCACACAACGAAACAAUUCAUGUGGUGUAUGUUACUGUUCUGUAUUAUAGUUAACUUCCAGUUCUGUCUAAUUAACCAAUAUGUCAGUAAGCCAAGAUUUUUCUUUGUCAAGCAUUAUUUGUUUGUUCCCAGUUA